rnacentral:lncRNA from 1 species
CGGGAGCCGCGUAUCCCCGCGUCUCAGGCGGGCAAACGAGCCCAAAGAGAUGCCAGAUUCUGAAUGAGAAAGUGACCUAAAUUGAAGAAAGCAGCUUGUGUUACAACAUACGGCAGCAGAGAUCGGGGACCAGAGGUAGCAAUUUAGGAGGGCUGCUGCUGACCCAGGAGCGAUUGUACUCUUCACUCUCAAAGCUUCCCGCAUGCCUGGGUCAUCUGGCUCUUACAGAUAAUGGAGUGUGUUGUUUGGCUGUCAAAUUUGUUAUGAAGGAUCUUUAUUCGGAAAGAUGUAGUUUUUUAAUCUGCAAAUAAAAAAUACUAAAGGGAAA